GUGACAAAGGGCUGUUUGGCUUUGGCGGUCCUGGAUAUGGAUCGUGUCCUCAAGGACAGAGCUAUCCUCCAUCGGGAGCAGCUUAUCCGCCACAGAGCUACCCGCCAAGUGGCUACUCAGCUGGGUACCCGCCAAGUGGCUACUCAGCAGGGUACCCGCCAAGUGGCUACUCAUCAGCAGGGUACGCGGCUUAUCCUCAACAAGGCGGGUACCCCGUCACCAGUUACCCUGCCGGCCCAUCCCCUCCAAGUACUGGCUAUUCUCAUCAUGGUGGAUUCGGGGGUUCCUAUGGCACCCACCAUGCGGCUCCCCACGGGCACUACGGUAGCCAUGGAAAGAACAAGGGUGGCUUCGGCCAUGGCCACAGCCACGGCUACGGAGGAGGAAAGUUGAAGAAGUGGAAGUGAAGAUCCGAUUACCUGUACCUUGAAUAAUAUUCAUACAUCUUUAUGAUGUUUGUGUUUAAGUUACUUUUAAACUAUAAGUGCUUUCUGGCUUCUUGUAUCUAAUAAGAAAUGUGCUCUCAAUAAAUAAAUGAAACCCCUGGGGGUCUGUGGAGGAAUGCAUACUUGUCUUCCAUAGUAUUUUCCAGAUUAAUAUACAUAUACGCAUUCUGUGUUUGUCUUUUAAUUAAUCCAUCUCAUUCCUUAGGUGCCAAAAAUCCAAUUCUUAUGAGCAAAAUUUUUUCCAAUAUUUUAUCUGCAAAAAUGAUUAUUAUUUUUAGAUUUUAAAUCCAUUUCAUUAACAAUAUUAAAUCUUUUGAUAAUUUGUUUCUCUAACAAGAAGUAUUGAUUGGUCUCGAUUUCUUUUUCAUUAAUUGAAGUUAAUUUAAUUUUUGGGUAAAUACUCGUUUAAUCAUUAUGUUUUGACUUAAGAACUCAUUUAAUCCCUAUAUUUUAAAAAAAUCCCAAGACACUCCUAAUAUUAAGUAUAUCAUGUUCCUACCCUUAAUUUUUCUUUCAUUUUACAAUAAUCACCUUGUAACAAUAUUCUUAGGGAAAAUAAUGAAAAAAAUGUUAAUUAAAGAAAUAAAAUUUAUGUAAAUUUUAUCUUAUUUAUUUACUUUUAGGAUUAAUUUGGUCAAUUAAAUUUUUAUAUACAAUUAUUAGUAAGACUGUUGCAAAGAUAUUGAACAUUACUUCAAAUAGACUGAUAUUAAUUUAUUUAUAAAUAGUUAUUAGUAAGAUUGUUAUAAAGGUACAAAAAAUACUAGCUCUGUCAUAUUGAUAUCUAUUGAUUAAUUUACUAAAAAAUAAUUAUUGGUCAAUUUGCUAAUUAACUUUUGUUUUAUAGAUAACAUAAUUAAUUUUAAGAAUAUUGUUGGUAGGGUAUUAUUGUAAAAAUAAAAGAAAAAAUAAGAAUAAGAAUGUAACAUAUUUAAUAAUAUUAGUAAAUUGAGAUUUUUUUAAAAUAUAUAAACUAAAUGAAUACUUAAGUCAAAAUAUAUAAGCUAAACAAAUAGUUACCCUUGAUUUUUCAACCAAAACAAAAACUUUCCUUCUAGUUUAGAAAUAACAACUAAUAAUUAUUCUAAUCAAUCUCACUUUAGGAAUAAUCUUGGUAUCAAAUAAUUUCUUUUAUACUUGUGAAAUCAAAACAUCUUUAGCAAAAGGUAACGUUAUCUUGUGAAGUUGGUAUCUCAAAUUUGCAUCACAAAAACCCAAAAAAAAUCACUUUAGUUUAAUAUAUCAAAUAUAGUGAUUCAUUUUAAAAAUAUAUAUAUGCACAAUUGGUCACUGUAAUAAUUAGAAAGUCGAUUUAAUAACAUUAUUGCCGACAAAAAUAUGCGAAAAAAACAAAUUGUAUAUUAAAGAUUUGGUUCACAUUAAUGAGUGCUUCACGAAAUCAAUCUAAAAAAUUAGUUGUCAGAAAAAUUGAAUUAAGUGCUUUGUUUAGUAUGGUUUAUCUAAUAAUUAUAAAUGUUAAUUUAAUCCCCUAAGUUCUUUUCAAAUUUUUUCUUGUUGUUUGGUUUUUUUUUAAUAGAGUUUUUGAAGAUUAAAUAAAUUAUUUUGUUUCUACUAGCAAAAACUUGAAUUUUGAGUUUUUUAAAGUAAAGUUGAGAAACUUUUUUAAAAUAUAAAAAUAUUUAAAAUAUCAUUUCUUUAUUUCAUAAUCUUAUUUCAUUUCUUUAUAAUAUAACUUUAAAUAACUUAUCUAUUAAAAUAAUUUUAUAAUUUUUAAUACAAACUCUCAUUGAUAACCAAACAACUAAUUUUUUUUUUAUAAAAACUCUAUUUAAAUAAACCAUAUUUGAAAAGUUAUAUCAAACGGAACCUAAAAGAGAUUCUUUCAAUUUUUUUUUAAUAUAUCAUAAAGAAUCCUCUAAUUAAAUUUUUUAUUCUUUCUCCAACGAACAAAAUAUUUGGGGCUGAUUGCUCUUGCAAAUUGCAACACAUGUUAAUCCAAAAUAUUCUCUUCACAGUUCACACGCAGGAUCAAAAGUUGAAAAGAUUGCUUAUAAAAAGAAGCGUUUAUAUUAACUUGAGUAUCCUCCCUCGCUACCUUCUUGUUUAGAAUUGUUUCACACACAGCACAAGGGUAGCUUUCUAUAUAUCAUCAGAAAAUUAACAUGGGAGACAGGAGGCACUUCUCAUACGGAGCUCCAGGUUAUGGAUAUCCUCCUCCGGCACAGUACUAUCCUCCUCCACCAGGAGCAGCUUAUCCGCCGCAAGGUUACCCUCCGCAGGGAUAUGGAUAUUCUCCAGUUGCCGGGUACCCGCCAUCUGGUUACAGUACCGGCCUGUAUGCUCCACCUCAUCAUUCAGGUUUGAAUCUGCAGAUAUAUUUUGAUUUGAAUGUUAAUUCGCGUUAUUGUUUAUUAAUUUCUGAAGCUGUUGACUUAUUUAUACAUUUAUGGUACGUUUUUAUAUUAGGAUAUGGUGGCGUAGGGGGACUGUUAGCCGGGGCUGCUUCUGCUUAUGGUACUCACCACAUGUCACACCAUGGGUACGGCGGGCACCAUCACGGCAAGUUCAAGCAUGGAAAGAACUACGGUGGCUUCAGGCAUGGAAAGCAUGGAGGAAAGAAGUGGAAGUAAACUUCUAAAUUUGUACCAAUUCAACCUAUCGCUACAAACGCUUCCCUAUUAAUUCCUCUUGGAUUGAAUAAUCCAUAUACAUUUAUAUGUGUAUGAUGGCUGUGUCUAUUAAGUGCCUUCUGGCAUAUGUUGUAUUUUUCUAAAUAAGAUCAUCCGGG
rnacentral:lncRNA from 1 species